UACGUAGGUGACGAGCGUUAUCCGGAAUUACUGGGCGUAAAGCGCACGCAGGUGGUUUUGCAAGUCUGGCGUGAAAUCUCCUGGCUUAACCAGGAGCGGUCGCUGGAAACUGUGAGACUUGAGGCGAUGAGAGGGGUGCAGAAUUCCCGGUGUAGUGGUGGAAUGCGUAGAUAUCGGGGGGAAUACCAGUGGCGAAGGCGGCACCCUGGCAUCGAGCUGACGCUCAUGUGCGAAAGCGUGGGGAGUGAACGGG
rnacentral:misc_RNA from 1 species